UUUGUCAGUGAAGAAGAUUUGAUACUUUAUAUUUUAGCAGGACUAGGAUCAGAAUAUGAUCCAAUUGUAUCCAGUAUUACCACCCGUAAUAGCACUGAUC
rfam:Vitis vinifera, whole genome shotgun sequence of line PN40024, unoriented chromosome 11, chr11